AGUCGAACGAUGAAGUCUAGCUUGCUAGUCGGAUUAGUGGCGGACGGGUGAGUAAUGUAUAGGGAUCUGCCUAGUAGUGGGGGACAACAGCCGGAAACGGCUGCUAAUACCGCAUACGCUCUACGGAGGAAAGUGGGGGACCUUCGGGCCUCACGCUAUCAGAUGAACCUAUAUCAGAUUAGCUAGUUGGUGGGGUAAAGGCCUACCAAGGCGACGAUCUGUAGCUGGUCUGAGAGGAUGAUCAGCCACACUGGGACUGAGACACGGCCCAGACUCCUACGGGAGGCAGCAGUGGGGAAUAUUGGACAAUGGGCGCAAGCCUGAUCCAGCAAUGCCGCGUGUGUGAAGAAGGCCUUAGGGUUGUAAAGCACUUUCAUUGAGGAGGAAAAGCUGUGCGUUAAUAGCGUAUAGCC
rnacentral:rRNA from 1 species